CCUACGGGAGGCAGCAGUGGGGAAUAUUGGGCAAUGGAGGAAACUCUGACCCAGCGACGCCGCGUGCGGGAUGAAGGCCUUCGGGUUGUAAACCGCUUUCAGCAGGGAAGAAGCGAAAGUGACGGUACCUGCAGAAGAAGCACCGGCUAACUAUGUGCCAGCAGCCGCGGUAAUACAUAGGGUGCAAGCGUUGUCCGGAAUUAUUGGGCGUAAAGAGCUCGUAGGUGGUUCGUCACGUCGGAUGUGAAAAUCUGGGGCUUAACCCCAGACCUGCAUUCGAUACGGGCGAGCUUGAGUAUGGUAGGGGAGUCUGGAAUUCCUGGUGUAGCGGUGGAAUGCGCAGAUAUCAGGAGGAACACCAAUGGCGAAGGCAGGACUCUGGGCCAUUACUGACACUGAGGAGCGAAAGCGUGGGGAGCGAACAGGAUUAGAUACCCUGGUAGUCCACGCCGUAAACGGUGGGCACUAGUUGUGGGGACCUUCCACGGGUCUCUGCGACGCAGCUACGCAUAAGUAGCCCGCCCGGGACGGACGAGCGCAGAUAAACUACAAGAAGUAGACGGCGNGAGACGUGCCGAACGACGACGACGAGGGAGAGG
rnacentral:rRNA from 1 species